CAUAGACUGACCAGGUGAAUCCAUGACAUAGACUGACCAGGUGAAUCCACGACAUAGACUGACCAGGUGAAUCCAUGACAUAGACUGACCAGGUGAAUCCAUGACAUAGACUGACCAGGUGAAUCCAUGACAUAGACUGACCAGGUGAAUCCAUGACAUAGACUGACCAGGUGAAUCCAUGACAUAGACUGACCAGGUGAAUCCAUGACAUUAGACUGACCAGGUGAAUCCAGGUGUUUGAAGAUAUGAUCCCUUCUUGAUGUCACCUGUUAAAUCCACUUCAAUCAGUGUAGAUGAAGGUGGA